CUCACAGUGUCCCACUCUAAUCAGCUAAGUAAGCCAUAACACCUGCAAAGGGUUUCUGAGCCUUUAAAUGGUCUCUCAGUCUGGUUCAGUAAGAAUCACUAUCAUGGGGAAGACUGCUGACCUGACAGUUGUGCAGAAAACCAUCAUUGACACCCUCCAUAAGGAAGGAAAGCUUCAAAAGGUAAUUGCAAGUUGGAUGUUCCCAAAGUGCUGUAUCAAAGCACAUUAAUAGAAAGUUAUGUGGAAGGGAAAAGUGUGAAAAAAAAGGUGCACAAGCAGCAGGGAUGAC